GCAUAAUGGAAAUGAAUCUAAGGAGGGGCGAAGGUGCACACGGAGGAGCAUUCCCUUCCUCAUGGCUUCCGGGAAAAGCAGCUCCUCGAGUGCGCAUCUUAUUUUGAAUCCAGAAUUAAACACCGAGGGACCUGAGGCCUUGCUUGGCCCGGGCACUGUAGACUGGGAGGAGCUUCAGGUGGGGGCUACUGCAGGGCUUUUCACCUUCUGGGCCUUGCAGGUGUCGGAGGGGACAGUGCUAUCCCCCACUCCCAACUCUCGAGAGGAUGCAACCAGAUGACACACACACCGUGUGCAGCCCAAGGCCAGGUGUCUACGAGAUGGCACUGGUACAUCAAGGAAAUAAGAAGCUUCUGAUGGACAUCAUUUUCCAUGAAAGCCUUUUGCUUCUCCUCCAAAUCUUAUCAUUAUACAUGGCUUCUCAGAUAUACACGAUAAUGGAAUCCGGCUGUCGGAGUCAGCCUGGUCUUGUCUGUGGAGCUGCUUGGUUUGAGGCCUGCAGGAAACCAAGCUCAAGGAGAAGGAGCAGUGGCGUGGGGAAGGAGCUCUAUGCCUGCCCCGCCCACCUGCCGCCAGGUCCCCCCUCCCUUCUCAGAUACACCGGAGCGGCGGGGCCUGCACCACGCUCAUCACCCGCACUGCUUAUUAUCCGCAGUUAGAUGUCCUGUGAACAAGCUGCUAAAACC
rnacentral:lncRNA from 1 species